ACUGGUGGCUCUGCAACAGAAGGGUCCAGACAGAACACUGCUAGAAAACCCUCCCAGGAUGAUGGUUUGAAGGAGGACAAGGAAGAGAAUGUGGUGAGCUGGGGUUACAGACGCCUGCUGCCAUGCGUGGCCUUUGACGUGGGUCCUGAGUGUCAACCUGCUCAGCAAGAGCGUUCACCUGCGCAGUCAUCUUGCCAGGCUAAUACUUCUUUAAGGUGGUUGGAGGACCAUAUAAACACUAUCGGAGUUAGUCACCUGACAUUCUAUGCCAGACUUGGUGACAACGGACAAGACCAUGAGGACACAAGCCUUCAGCACGUGAAGAAGACGUAGAGGGACCAUAUGGCUACAGCCAGGAAGCCAGAGCCUGACAGAGCAAGGCAGGCACAGAGAGCCAGUCUCGGGCUCUCCUGGACACCUUCCUACUAGCACAGGGACCCCUUCACACUGGACCUGUCAAUCACAGUGCUCACUCUUAGCUCAGAGACACACAAGGUCUGGCUAUGUGUGGUGUGGGGUUUUCAUUAUGCAGUCAGGCUAGGACUAACAAUCCUCCUGCCUCACAUGGGAUUGUAAAUAUGUGCCAGCUGGAGCCUCUUCACAUUGGAUUCCGACAUAAGCCUCUGUGCACGUGACAAUAGGGACUGCAUGGCCACAGGGAGGCUUUUGUGACCCUCUAAGCACGGCAACUGAGGAAACCCACAAGGAAACAAGAUUCUUUGGCUACUUUAAGAUUCUGCUUGCCUGAGCUGCAGGAAAAGGCUGGACCAUGGGGAAGCCCCAGCUACUCUCAAAGGUCACUCAACAAUGACAAGAGCCCAGCAGGGUCAGGACAGAAGAGUGAGGAGAGACCAGGGUCCCAGAGGGCUUUUGGCCCCGUCCAUCUUUAGUAUCCUCUGCAUGGAUGCUGGUACGAACCUCAGAUGCCAGCGUCAUGCAUGGGCACUGGACUUGAGACAUGUUUAGAGAGGAUCUUAAAAUAAUCCAAUCAAACCAGCAAACUCUCUGCUCGUGGCAGAAGCGCGCCCGUGUGGCUGUUCUUGUGAAGAAACAGCUCUUUGACUAAAGAUAAACUCAAGAGAUAAACUCCGGGCUUCCUCACUGCCCAGACACUUCUGGGUAGAGCAAAGAGGCUACCUGUCUCUUUUUAGCAAGACAUGGCCACCAGUGGUCCACCUGGGAAAACACAGGCAGACAGCGGACAAGAAAGGGACAGCAAGUUCAACGUGGUACUGGGGCUUCUUACCCACAUAUUCCGAGAGGAAGACGACAAAGAACGGAGUGACCAGGUCAUUAAUUCCCUGGACAUACCCACUGGCGGGGUGUCGGAUGGCCCAGAUAAAGAGAAUUCGUUCAAAGAUCUAGGAAGACGAG
rnacentral:lncRNA from 1 species